ensembl:lncRNA
GUAGGAGAGAGAGAAAGAGAGAGAGGAAGAGAGAGAGGAGUAGAGAGAGAGAGAGAGAGGAGUAGAGAGAGAGAAAGAGAGGAGUAGAGAGAGAGAGAGGAGUAGAGAGAGAGAGAGAGAGAGAGAGGAGUAGAGAGAGAGAGAGAGAGGAGUAGAGAGAGAGAGAGGAGGAGAGAGAGAGAGAGAGAGAGAGGAGUAGAGAGAGAGAGAGAGAGGAGUAGAGAGAGAGAGAGAGAGAGAGAGAGAGAAAGAGAGAGAGAGAGAGAAAGAGAGGAAGAGAGAGAGAGGAGUAGAGAGAGAGAGAGGAAGAGAGAGAGAGAGAGAGAGGAGUAGAGAGAGAGAAAGAGAGGAGUAGAGAGAGAGAGAGAGCGAGGAGUAGAGAGAGAGAAAGAGAGGAGUAGAGAGAGAGAAAGAGAGGAGUAGAGAGAGAGAAAGAGAGGAGUAGAGAGAGGGAGGAGUAGAGAGAGAGCGAGGAGGAGUAGAGAGAGAGAGAGAGCGAGGAGUAGAGAGAGAGAAAGAGAGGAGUAGAGAGAGAGAAAGAGAGGAGUAGAGAGAGAGAGAGGAGUAGAGAGAGAGAGAGGAGUAGAGAGAGAGAGAGAGAGCGAGGAGUAGAGAGAGA